rnacentral:siRNA from 1 species
GUUUUGGGUGCGGUUUUAGUUACC